rnacentral:rRNA from 1 species
AGGGUUUGAUCAUGGCUCAGAACGAACGCUGGCGGCGUGGAUAAGACAUGCAAGUCGAACGCUUAUUCUCGGGUAGCAAUAUUCGAGAGUAGGAGUGGCGCAAGGGUGCGUAACACGUGGAUCAUCUACCGAGAAGUUCUGAAUAAUCCCGAGAAAUCGGGACUAAUGCGGGAUGUGGCCGGAAGGCUAAAGUUGGGGACCGCAAGGCCUGACGCUUCUUGAUGAGUCCGCGGCCUAUCAGCUAGUUGGCGGGGUAACGGCCCACCAAGGCUAAGACGGGUAGCUGGUCUGAGAGGACGACCAGCCUCACUGGAACUGAGACACGGUCCAGACACCUACGGGUGGCAGCAGUCGAGAAUUUUUCUCAAUGGGGGAAACCCUGAAGGAGCGACGCCGCGUGAGGGAUGAAGGGCUUCGGCCCGUAAACCUCUGUCAUUUGCGAACAAACGUUAUGGUUGAACAUUCCAUGACUUGAUUGUAGCGAAAGAGGAAGGGACGGCUAACUCUGUGCCAGCAGCCGCGGUAAUACAGAGGUCCCAAGCGUUGUUCGGAUUCACUGGGCGUAAAGGGUGCGCAGGUGGGUUUGCAAGUUCGAUGUGAAAGCCCCGGGCUUAACCCGGGAAUGGCAUUGGAUACUGCAGAUCUGGAGGAUCGGAGGGGGGACUGGAAUUCUUGGUGUAGCAGUGAAAUGCGUAGAUAUCAAGAGGAACACCAGUGGCGAAGGCGAGUCCCUGGACGAUACCUGACACUGAGGCACGAAAGCUAGGGGAGCAAACAGGAUUAGAUACCCUGGUAGUCCUAGCUGUAAACGGUGCGCAUUUGCUGUAAACGGAAUCGACCCCGUUUGUGGCGAAGCUAACGCGAUAAAUGCGCCGCCUGGGAAGUACGGUCGCAAGA